AAUCUUCCGCAAUGGACGAAAGUCUGACGGAGCAACGCCGCGUGAACGAUGAAGGUCUUCGGAUCGUAAAGUUCUGUUGUUAGGGAAGAACAAGUACCGUGCGAAUAGAGCGGUACCUUGACGGUACCUAACGAGGAAGCCCCGGCUAACUACGUGCCAGCAGCCGCGGUAAUACGUAGGGGGCAAGCGUUGUCCGGAAUUAUUGGGCGUAAAGCGCGCGCAGGCGGUUUCUUAAGUCUGAUGUGAAAGCCCACGGCUCAACCGUGGAGGGUCAUUGGAAACUGGGGAACUUGAGGACAGAAGAGGAGAGUGGAAUUCCACGUGUAGCGGUGAAAUGUGUAGAUAUGUGGAGGAACACCAGUGGCGAAGGCGACUCUCUGGUCUGUUUCUGACGCUGAGGUGCGAAAGCGUGGGUAGCAAACAG
rnacentral:rRNA from 1 species